AUGAUGUGUAAGUUACCUGUGAUGAGUCAGCAACGGAUGCUAGAGCAGGUGAAGAUAUCAGGGUUGCAGUUCUUGCUGUAAUUUAGCACGGCUGAAGCAGCAUGGGCCUUUUUUUCUACAUUGAUGUGAAUCAAAUAAGAUCCAUAUAACCUAAAAAAAUGUCAAACUUAGGAAUCAAAAUUAGAAUUAUCGAUUUAGGUGCAUCAGAGCCACAAAAGUAGCAAAUAUAUCACACCUGGAAACCUUUAAAACAUUCAAAGAAUAUAUGCAUAAAUUAAAUGUAAAAGAAUGCAUCACUAUCACUAACUACCAUAGAUCAUACCUUCAAUUCAAAGCACAAACCCUACCUUUCUUGAGCUUCAUGUAGGAACUGGUUCCCAACAAAGAUAGUUACUCUUUUUCUCUUGCUUCGUUUCUUAUUAUAUGAAACAGUCAGUGUUAUUCUUUUACAACUGUCAUUUCCUCGUCGAAGAAUUACCUCUUCAACAAAACAAAAAAAAAAAAAAAUCCUAAAUUAGCAUUUGUAUACGAAUGAAACCAUUGUUCCAUUAUGAUUUUUUUCAAUUAGUGAAAACAAUUAUAGAGAAUAAAACCAAACUUUAAAAUCAUGAAAUAAAACUAUGCAAAAAAAUAAUAAUAAUAUGAUUUCGUAUCUGUGCAUAAACUCUCAAUCUUGCAUGGUAGAAGAGGCAUCGCAACCUUUCUUCUCAAAGCCGAAGAGGAAGGGAAUGCAAGAUAUCAUCCAUGUGUACCACUGAGUUGGAGCCAAAUAAGAGUCUCAAGUCGUACAAUGGUUGCCUUUCUCCUAAUUAGUACUCCAUAACUAUUUAGCCAAAAGUUUUGAUAAAUAACUAUUUUUCAUAGAAAACACCAAAACAAAGCAACCAAAAGCGACUACCUUGACAUUAAAUCUUCUUCUAUAUAUAAAGGUGGCCUUGACAACCCUCUCGGUCUCAUCCUUCUUCUUAAUAGUGUAGAUUGACACUAAAAAAACCCAUAAAUUAAGCCAUCAUCAAAUCGGCAAAAAAGUACCAUAACCAUAAACCAAAAACAAAUAUAAUCAUAACAAACCAAAAACAAAAUUGAAGAUGCAAUAAACGUGCAAUAGUUAAUCAACAUUCAAUGUAAGCCUAUUUUUUUACCAUUGACGCUUCUUUAAAGUAUCACAUUGUAUUGGUACAAUUGAUUAAAAUAUAACAAAAAUUUCUAUAUUCUGUUUCAUAAUAUCUUGCAUACUCUGCACCUGCUACGUCCAAAGAUCCAAAAUGGUAAUAUAAAAUUCGGACAUAAUCAAACACUACAAUUAAUUGUUCUGGCUACAUGCUUUAUGGAUCCUCCCUAAGUUGCGACAAUAUGUAUAAAUAUACAAAGAAAUUAAAUUUGUAAAAACAUAUGCUAAAGGUUGGAACAACAACGUUUGUACAAAGAAAGUAACAUUAUAAUAUUAGAUGAAACUGUAGGCAUUUGAUCGAGCACCUUAUAAGCACAUGUAAAACAAUGAGAACACAAUC
rnacentral:lncRNA from 1 species